UUCUCUGUUGGAGAGUUCAGGAGUGAGCAGUUUUAAAAGUCAUGGAAAAGGAAGAGGGCAUAAUUACCAAAAAUUCAAGAUCCUGUGAACUGAAGGACAGAGGAAACACUAAACUAGUCAAAACCUUUCCUCUCCAUCCCCUGCACGGAAAUUCUGGUAAUGCAUCGCACAGCAAAAUCCUUUGGGACUCUAGGAUGUGGACUUCACUUGAAGACCAACGGCGAAAAUGGCUCAAGCAAAUGAAGCAAAUGUGCCUCCGACAAAAUUGUGCUGUCCUGUCCUCUGUUAUGACCAUUUUAUUAUGGUGACUGGUGAAAGAGGCAACGUUUAAUCUAAGUUCUAUGAAACUAUCUGUAAAGAAAAUAACAUAUUUUUCUACUUUGAAAGGUACGUUCCACAUGAAUUUACAUUUUUAAGUAUGUUUAAGAAUUUUUUUCCUUUUAAAGAUGGUGACAUCUGAAUCAUAAAAAUAGUCUAUCGAUGUUUAUAUUUGUGACAAAAUAUCUCUACAGAUAUAUAUGAUCACAACAGUCGUCAGUAUAUUUUUAAGAAUAUCAAAAUAGCUUUGGCUGAUGUGCUUAAAAAGUGCCUUGUUUCAUUAGAUUCUGCAGAAUGUAAAGCCCUCUUUCAAAACUGAUAUAGCAUUUCUAGUUGCAAGAUCGUUUUAUAUUGUGAACUUUUUAUUAAAUAUGCAUAUUCUAGUAGCCUCUAGAGACUUUUAAUUUAAAACAUAAAUUAUAUGUAAUUUCAAACUCUGCUAUCUCUGACUUUAGUCACAGAACUCACUUUUGGGACUGCUACACAUGGCUAACGGUAAUAUAUCAAUGCUUCCAAUAGACGUUUUAGCUAUAUGAGGUCAUUACAAAUAUAGCUUUAGCUCUUCCUUAAGUAGACCCCAUUGUUAAUAUAAAUAUGUAUCUGUAAUUAUUGACAUUUAUAUGAUUUGGCCCCUGUACUAAAUUAUUGAUACAGUGAUGAUAAAAGGGCCUUACCAACUCUUACCUAAAUAAACUGUCCUUCCUAACUACCUUCCA
rnacentral:lncRNA from 1 species